rnacentral:sRNA from 1 species
AUCAAAAACUAAAAAAAAAAAAAACAUUUACAGCACCACG